rnacentral:sRNA from 1 species
GUGGAAUGAUGCGUAUAUGAUUCUGGCACAACCAGUUCUUUCCCUGAAGCAGCUGUUGCCACCACCCUCUUCCUGCCAGGCAGUGGAGGAAGGUGCUUGCGGGAGCUGCGGACACACUGUUGUGUGUUAGGCAUCUACUUAGCUGGCCUCAUGUUCUGCUUUUGCUGGCAGAAUUCCUUGCUGAAGCUGCAAGCCCUCGAAUCUGAUCUGUGCUCUGCAUUUUUAACAAACCAGGAAGAAGCUGCUCAGGUGCAUGGAGUCAAGGACCCAGCGCCAGCAUCAACCCAGAGUGUGCUUGCCGAUGGGACAGAUUCUGCAGACCCCUCACCAGUCCACAAAGAUGGGCAGAAUGAGGCCGACAGUGCACCAGAAGACCUCCAGUCUGUGGGGACCAGCAGGCUGCUCUAUCACAUCACUGAUGGUGAUAACCCACUGCUGUCGCCACGAUGCUCCAUCUUCAGCCAAAGCCAGAGAUUCAACUUAGACCCCGAGUCAGCCCCAUCUCCACCCAGCACUCAGCAGUUUAUGAUGCCGCGGAGUUCUUCACGCUGCAGCUGUGGAGAUGG